UGCAGCUUCCAAUGGCAUGAAAUGCUC
rnacentral:piRNA from 1 species